CCUACGGGAGGCAGCAGUGAGGAAUAUUUGUCAAUGGUCGGGAGACUGAACCAGCCAAGCCGCGUGAGGGAUGAAGGUACAGAGUAUCGUAAACCUCUUUUGUCAGGGAACAAAGGCUGGUACGUGUCCCCGGAUGAGUGUACCUGAAGAACAAGCAUCGGCUAACUCCGUGCCAGCAGCCGCGGUAAUCCGGAGGAUGCGAGCGUUAUCCGGAUUUAUUGGGUGUAAAGGGUGCGCAGGCGGUCUGUUAAGUCAGCGGUCAAAGCCCGGGGCUCAACCCCGGCCCGCCGUUGAAACUGGCAGGCUCGAGUUGGAGAGAGGUAUGCGGAAUGCGCGGUGUAGCGGUGAAAUGCAUAGAUAUCGGGCAGAACUCCGAUUGCGAAGGCAGCAUGCCGGGUCGACACUGACGCUGAGGCACGAAAGCGUGGGUAUCGAACAGGAUUAGAUACCCGUGUAGUC
rnacentral:rRNA from 1 species